rnacentral:rRNA from 1 species
UGGGGAAUCUUGCGCAAUGCGCGAAAGCGUGACGCAGCAACGCCGCGUGAGGGAAGACGGCCUUCGGGUUGUAAACCUCUUUCAGGAGGGACGAAGCCUUGUCGGUGAAUAGCCGUGCGAGGUGACGGUACCUCCACAAGAAGCCCCGGCUAACUACGUGCCAGCAGCCGCGGUAAUACGUAGGGGGCAAGCGUUGUCCGGAAUCAUUGGGCGUAAAGAGCGUGUAGGCGGUCCGAUAAGUCCGCUGUAAAAGUCAAGGGCUCAACCCUUGAAAGCCGGUGGAUACUGUCGGGCUAGAGUCCGGAAGAGGCGAGUGGAACUCCUGGUGUAGCGGUGAAAUGCGCAGAUAUCAGGAAGAACACCAACGGCGAAGGCAGCUCGCUGGGACGGUACUGACGCUGAGACGCGAAAGCGUGGGGAGCAAACAG